CCUACGGGGGGCAGCAGUGAGGAAUAUUGGUCAAUGGACGAGAGUCUGAACCAGCCAAGUAGCGUGAAGGAUGACUGCCCUAUGGGUUGUAAACUUCUUUUAUAAAGGAAUAAAACGAGGCACGUGUGCCUUUUUGCAUGUACUUUAUGAAUAAGGAUCGGCUAACUCCGUGCCAGCAGCCGCGGUAAUACGGAGGAUCCGAGCAUUAUCCGGAUUUAUUGGGUUUAAAGGGAGCGUAGAUGGGUUGUUAAGUCAGUUGUGAAAGUUUGCGGCUCAACCGUAAAAUUGCAAUUGAUACUGGCAGUCGUGAGUACAGUUGAGGUAGGCGGAAUUCGUGGUGUAGCGGUGAAAUGCUUAGAUAUCACGAAGAACCCCGAUUGCGAAGGCAGCUUACUAAACUGUGACUGACAUUGAUGCUCGAAAGUGUGGGUAUCAAACAGGAUUAGAUACCCUAGUAGUC
rnacentral:rRNA from 1 species